AUUGAACGCUGGCGGCAUGCUUUACACAUGCAAGUCGAACGGCAGCGCGGGCUUCGGCCUGGCGGCGAGUGGCGAACGGGUAAGUAAUACAUCGGAACGUGACCAGUAGCGGGGGCUAGCCCGGCGACAGCCGGAUUAAUCCAGCAUACGACCCGAGGGUGAAAGGGGGGGAUCUUCGGCCCUCGCGCUAUUGGAGCGGCCGAUGGCAGAUUAGCUAGUUGGUGGGGUAAAGGUCUACCAAGGCGACGAUCUGUAGCUGGUCUGAGAGGACGACCAGCCACACUGGAACUGAGACACGGCCCAGACUCCUACGGGAGGCAGCAGUGGGGAAUUUUGAACAAUGAGCGAAAGCCUGAUCCAGCAAUGCCGCGUGUGUGAUGAAGGCCUUCGGGUUGUAAAGCACUUUUGGCGGGAACGAAAAGGACUGUGCCAAUACCACGGUUCGAUGACGGUACCCGCAGAAUAAGCACCGGCUAACUACGUG
rnacentral:rRNA from 1 species